rnacentral:misc_RNA from 1 species
UUUCCGUAGGUGAACCUGCGGAAGGAUCAUUAACGAGUUAGGGUCUUCUAGGCCCGACCUCCCAACCCUUUGUUUACUGAACCAUUGUUGCCUCGGUGGGUCCGUCUUACGACCGCCGGGGGAUCGCCGCGAGGCGCCCCCUGGCCAGCGCCCACCGACAGCCCAACCUUUAAAACCCUUUGUGAAUCGUGUCUUAUGUCUAAAUUUAUGAUUAAACAAUCAAAGCAAAACUUUCAACAACGGAUCUCUUGGUUCUG